CUCGAUAAGUUGCGGCGUCGCCCCGGGAUGUUGCCGAAGCCGUGCAACGGACGCGUCCCCGGAUGGUGCCGCGGCGCUAAAGGAGACCGAACAGCUGUUCCACCUGAAGAUGGAGCCGCGGCAGAAGCCGUCGUAGCUAUGCCCCUACCACCACCGAUACGAGUAGAGUCACAACGUCCACGCCGAGAAGAACCGCGCCGGCUCCUGCUACCAGUACCCGUUGCACGGUCUCUGCGGGUAGAUGGCCACCUACCUGGUCAUGUGCUGCACGAGCUGCCGUGGGAAGCGCUCUUCUAGUGGGCCACCUAACUGCUGCUGCUGCUUGCUUGGAGCAGGAGUUGUACACACUCGCUAACCGUCGUAGCUGUGGUCACCAUGCUCAUACGUAAAGCUGUACCGUUUAAAACACACCUUCUACGAAUUUGUCCACGUAGAAACUGGUUCAUAUCCUGCCCGUCUACAGCGCUUUCCUUAUGAGUACCAAAGACUUCUGACUGAUACGAGGGAGCUCAUGAUGCGUCGUUGUUUGAGUCCUAUUGAGUCAGCUCUUGAAAUUUUCUCGUUUGUUCUAAGACCGAAGCCUCAGACUCGGCCAAGUUUGUACCCUAAAGAGACGCGCUUGUUGGAAGUAUACCUACUUACUUACCUUGGCAUACGGGGUUCUAGGAGCCAGAUUCUAGGAGCCGGAAGACUGGUCCUCCGUUGUCCACUCCUACCACCGUCCUCCUACAUGGACGCCGCACUCCUCUACCCACGUCCUUGUCGGCCGCGCGCCUCCACCGACCAAGGCUGCCGGAGUCCACUCCUACCACCGUCCUCCUACAUGGACGCCGCACUCCUCUACCCACGUCC
rnacentral:rRNA from 1 species